rnacentral:rRNA from 1 species
ACUUCUUUUUCCCUCUUUCUCCUUCCUUCUUUUUCUUCCCGAGUGCGUAGGUGGUUUUUUAAGCGUGAGGUGAAAGGCAAUAGCUUAACUAUUGUAAGCCUUGCGAACUGGAAGACUUGAGUGCAGGAGAGGAAAGUGGAAUUCCUAGUGUAGCGGUGAAAUGCGUAGAUAUUAGGAGGAACACCAGUGGCGAAGGCGACUUUCUGGACUGUAACUGACACUGAGGCACGAAAGCGUGGGGAGCAAACAG